GAAGCUGCGAAGAUGGCGGAGUAAGGCGUGCCGCUGCAAACUGGCCUCUGGGCCGGGGGCGAGCAGCCCCCGGGAGGCCGAGUGCAUCUGUUGGACCGUGCGAGGAGAAGAAAAAAAAUAUCGGCCAGAGGAGAGGAACUAACCGAACAUUCUUCCUCCCUACCUUAUAGAGGGGAGUGGUCAUCUACACUAAAGCAAAGUGUUAGGCGCGUCCGUGCGAAGAGACCACCAAACAGGCUUUGUGUUCCUUAUCACAGGAAGAAAAUUUUCCUUGACCUUUAGGUGCUUUUAUAUUCAUCUCAAAAACAAAAUUCUGAACUCAGGACUUGGCAAUCUCUCUCUGUUGCCCAGGCUGGAGUGAUGCGUGAUUUCUGCUCACUGCAGUCUCUCCCACCCGGGUUCAAGCGAUUCUCCUGCCUCAGCCUCCCAAGUAGCUAGGAUUACAGGCGCGCACCACCACGCUCAGCCUGAUUUCUAGGCUGAAAAGGCUGGGACUCAGGUACUUUCCCCAGUUGGGACUGAACUUUCUCAUCAGAGAAUGGGCCUCAGAAGCAAUGUUCCCAAACUUGUGGUUGGGUCAUCGUGGAAAAGAAACCUCAAAUAAGAAAAAUAAUUACAAUAAGAAAUGGAUUUUCUUUUUUCCCACAACAGUUAUACAUUAUAAAGAACAGACUGUCGUAGAAAACUGUCUUUGCUUCCAAAUCAGCAGAGGACCAUUGUAUGUAUUGUCAGGUCUUUAUAUAAGAGUGAAACCUUUAUUUAUGCUUCUUGUGAGUAGAGAAUAAAUUUUAAAACUAAUUAGAUGAAAUUAAGAACAGAGUAUUGGAACAUCUCUGUGUUUUCCGGAAUGUUUACUCAGGUCCAUGAAUGCUGUGAUGCUGGGAACUUAGGGAAGAUUCACCAAAAUUUGAGAGUGAUAAAAAUGGCCUAAAAUGGGAAAUGGUGAGCACUCUUAUUAUUAGUGAGAUUGGUCAAUCAGCCCAUUUGAAAUGGGUAAAAAAUACUUUCAGUAAAAUAAUUACAUAUUAUAUAUAAAAUAUUUCUUUUUUUGAGGGCAGCUACUGAGUGAUAAAAGCAUAGUAGAAAUCACUUUGGUUAAAAGUAACUCAAAUUUUUCUCUUAAGUAAUCUACCAACUUCCUGAUGUUUUUCUUUAAUAUUUUGGAACUGUUCAAGACAGAAUGGAGCCUACAUAUAUGGUGUUCCACUAGUAUGUUGAAAAUGUCAUAUCAUGGAGAAUGGAGACACCUUCCAGGUGUCUGUUAAACCCAUCUUCUCUGUGUACUUCUGGCAUCUUUUUUGGUAGGAUCAUUUGGCAGGGGGUAGAGUACCUGUACUUUUGGCACCAUUGAAACCAGCUCUGGCCCACUUGUUUGAAUAGCUAUCAGACUCAGCGUCUCUAUAUGCUUUAUAUACAGUUGAGAGAACCAGUGUUUAAUGCUCUUGAAAUUGUAUCUUCCAUGCUUCAGACCAGAUGCAUUUAACAAAAUGGAUAUAUUCCAGCUGUAGUUGCCCAGUGUUUACUUAACACAUCUACAUUUUUUUCUUGUCUAUUUUGGUCCCCUUGAUAGGAAAAGCUAUAAUUUUAGGCAGGACUAUACGUCGAUUUGUAGCCAUGCUUCCUUCCUUUCCCUUGCUCAUCCAUGUUAGCUGGCAGUUUUUCUUUUGAAAAGUUAAAACCGGGAUAUGUGCAAUAGAAAUAUAUAUAUAUAUAUGUAUAUUUUAAUACUUGUGGACAAAUGUUACAAGUUGUUUAAGAACAACAAAAUCACCAAUGUCUUCCAUUUUGAGAUGUGUAUAGUUUUGUAAGCAUUAGUGCUUGGUAGCAUAUUGUAGUGCCAUGUUAGGGGUUAGUGCAUGAGUCUAGUGAUUUUAAACUUCAGGAUGAAUUAUUGAUAAUAACAAAUAGUGUAAAAAGAGUGGAAAAUCUAAACCUUUUCUUUUUCCAUAAUGUCUAAAUCUGUUAUAUUCUUCCUGGGGAAAAGAGAUUAAGGCCCAAAAGACUCAUUUAUGAAUAGAAAUGUGGGGUCAAAAUCUGAGAUACUAUAUUUGAGGACAUUUCAGCUUUCCAUAAGGUAUCUGGAAACCAGCUGUCUUUGUGUCUUAUGAAACCUCAAGUCAAAAUGAGACCGCAUUUAAUUAUUCUGCUUUGCUCUUUUUUUGGGGUGGGGGGGAGAUAGAGUUUCACUCUGUCACCCAGGCUGGAGUGCAGUGGCACAAUCUUUGCUCACUGUAACCUCUGCCUCUUGGGUUCAAGUGAUUCUCGUGCCCCAGCCUCCCGAGUAGCUGGGACUACAGGCACGUGCCACCACGCCCAGCUAAUUUUUAUAUUUUUAGUAGAGACGGGGUUUUGCUGUGUUGGCCAGGCUGGUCUCAAACUCCUGACCUCAAGUAAUCCACCUGGCCUGCUCUUUUCAUGUCUUAACAUGGCAUGUCUUUUAGUUUCAUUAUUUUCCUACUCCUUGUAUGUCAAGAAAUUACAUUUUGCAUGUCUUAUGGAGAUGCUGUUAAUUGCUUCAGUGAGUGCUUUUCUAAUCUGCAGACCAUUUACAUUUCCUGUUUGCAGCAUGCUGUGUGCAAACACUCAGUAAUUUGGAGUAUUCAAUUAUUUGUUAGGGCUCUUCCUAUUUCCAAAUGUGCUGAAUUGUCUAUUGAUGGGAUUUUCAGAUCUUUUCAUGAGAACUGGAAAUGUAGCUGGGUGGCACCUACCUAGGUUGCUACGUAGUGAGUAGACUUUCUCUUGGGUAUAGUAAGCCUCAGACAGCUUUCACUUUUAUCUACUUUACUUGUGGAAAUAAAACAGUCAUUUUGUUCUGAAAGAAUAAGAUAGCUUUCUGUAGAGAAGGAAUUCCUACCUCUAAAAGCUGCCUUGAGAACUCAGAACUGGCAGUUUUCUGAGGUGAUUUUUAAAUUUCAGUAUUAGGGAGAGUCCAGCAUUUGCUGACACAGAUUCUACAUAACUAAUGUAUGAUAGCAAAUGCAAAACUAUUAUAAUGUGGUGUAUCUUGCGCAUACACAGGUUAGAACAAGUAGACUCUGGCAGCAGAUCUCCAGAGACCCAAGUUUAGGUUCUCAUAGUGUAUUUGAAGUAGUUAUACUCCUGGCUUAAGUAGUUUAGUGCCUGGGAG
rnacentral:lncRNA from 1 species